GGUUGGUCCGAAAGUUGUGGGUUAUCCAAAUCAUUCAGUUAGUAUCACUAACCUUCUAUUUCACCCCACUGCUGACCUUGACUGGCCAAUUUUUUA
rnacentral:Y_RNA from 12 species